GGCGUAACGUUUGAAUUUAACAACUCGACGAGAGUUCCGUACGAGUACGGAGAGCGAUAUCACAGAAGCAUAUCAGAAUGAAGCGGAGUGACGUCGGACGGGGUAUGGAAUGGGGUCCCCCAGGUCUCUUCGGUUUGGUAGGGAUAGAAAACGGGCAGCUGUUCGUUCAGCCCGCAGGCAGCCAGCAAGCUAAGCCAGCCCCGUGUACCCAUGUGCUAAGGCAACACAAUCAGACGUCGGUCGAGUUGUUGGACGCUGUUCAAAAAAUUUUCGAGUAGCUUAUGCGUCCGGCACGUUGCAUGGGUGGAAGUAAAAAAAAAAAAAAAAAAACUAAACGUAUACCACGGUUGUCGAUAAAUUUUUCAGUUUUUCAGUUUUUUUUUUCCUUUUUUUCUACACAUUUUUCCUUUAAAUAAACAGUCCGGGAAAGUGUAAAUAAAGUGAAAUAUGGAAAGUGAAGUUUUCAAUGGGAUACAUGAAAACGGAGUGCUUUCGUGGAAUUUCAAAUAUUCCUGGCUCUUGAACGAAAAGGAAGACACUCUAUUCGUCCGGAUACGUUGAGAAAUUUAAUAAUAAUAACGAUAGGCGUCAACCAAAGUUUUGAAACGAUAGUGUAAAUGAAAAAACUUUUGGUCAAAAGUUUGUUGCGAUUAUAUCGUGGUGAAUACGUUUCGUGUAAAAAGUACAUUCGGCACAAUUUAUAUUCUACGUGAAGAAUAAUUGUCGUAGAUACGAGGCCGAUCCCGACUGUGAUAAAACAAUACAUAUAGCUUUAACCGAGCCAAAGAGAAAUAAUUAAUCGGGAGGAUGCUAGUGGUAUGGCAUACCUCGUAUACGGCGGAAUAAAAGUUUUAAUACGGAAAGAUAUAUUCCGAUGAAAUUUCGCAAGACCAUCUCAACCAGCCCUAAGAUGGAGCUGUUGAGCAGGAGAUCGUCGAGUAACCCAAUUUCAUCGCUGAGGAGAUCGCGGUCCGUGAGAGCUUCGCUGAAACUGGUUGCAAAAAUUCGAAAUCAUGCGAAUCUAAGUGUAAAUUCCCACCCCGUUCCACCACCUCCGGUUUCUCUGAAUCCCGAAGGGAUGGCUCCGCAUCAGGGGAAAAGUCCCCUUCGACAGAAAAACACGGUGGAAGAUAUCAAGGUAAAGGGGGAAGCGAACUCUCGUAAGGGUAGAUCCGAAAGAACGGCCGAAAAAGGAAAGAGGAUCCCUCCCUCGGAAACAAAAGAAGGGAUAUUGUAUCAGACGAUGAAAAGUGUUGGAUCUGAUCUGGACGACGUCGUGAGCCAAACUUCUGGAGAUAAGAGAGAGAGGAAAGCGUCAAAAAGUGAAGAAAAUCGCCUAAGCACAUCUGCUUUCACGAUCAGGUCCGAAAAAUUCUCUUUUACGGACCGCAUACGGGGUAGACACAAGAAGAAUACGCCCGAAAUAUUUUCGGAGGGAAAAAUAGUGUCGAGAUCAUCGCCGAAAAAUGAAAAUACCGUCGCCCCCUGCGGUAAGGAACAAAUCGCAAAAUCACCAAAAAGUGGCAGCUUCUUUCGUCGAGAUAAAUCGAAAAUUGUCAACCCGGUAAACGUCGUCAGCUGCGGAUCUUCGGAUCGAUCGAGUCUGAGACUCCAGACGCUUCGUCAAAUAUUAGGAGAAUUUAACUCGUACGAAAAUCCAACGUUCAGUUUGGAUAACUCGACUAAUUCAGACGUUUCCAACGUUCAAUUGGAUGUCACGGAGUCGUGUAACGCCGGCUCCGAUGUCAAAGAAGAUCAAUGCGAACUGAAAGAAUCAUUUUACAAGGACUUCGAUUCGAGCGAAUCGAAAUCGAACGUUAGCGACGAAAGUUUGAAGGAAAUUCGAAGCUCGAAUGAAGGGACGAUUUUACCAGAUUUACCAAAGUCCUCGAAACCAAAGACGAUGGACAACAUCGCUAAUUUUCUUUAUAACAAACGGGGAACAAGCCUCCGUGUUAAAAAAUCAAAAAGUAAAAAAUCGAGCCCCAAGGAUUCCAGAGAAAUUGAAACCAGCCAAAAAUCUACAGCGGAAUUAUUUCAGCCAACCAACACUCGACGAAGGCUGAGUACUUCCGUUUCCAGUUCGAUGUUGCCUACGCGACAAGGCAUGGAGUUCCUGGAGGGAUUUGGAAAAAAAAAGCACCAACAACAAAUUCAACUUGUCUCGGCAACUAAUUUGAAUCCACUUACGGCACAAGCUAGUCUCAACGUACAUUUACACGGUCUGUUCGCUGCGGUCGAGAACGGGCACUUGGACAAAGCGAAAUCGAUACUCGAAUCUACGGACGUUGAUGUAAACAGUGUGAACAGCGACGGGUUAUCGCCGUUGGACGUUGCUGUUCUCAGCAAUAACAGACCACUCGCAAAAAUGCUGGUCGCAUUUGGCGCUCAGGAAGGAAACCAAUUCAAAUCUCCGGAGUCUUUGGGAAGCCAUUUAGCCUCCUUACUUUCCGAAGCGGAACACAAAGUCCAAGAACUCGGCGGAAGCUCGAGUAGCACCGGAACGACGCUUCUGGAACCUCCGAGUCACAGGGCGAGUUUCUCGACACCUCAUAACAAUCUAACCGGAUGUGGAGGCAGCGCGGAAGACAAGCAACUUGCCAUCUGGGAAAGGAGAGCUCGAGCAUUGAGGAAAAUGUUACUGGGUUUCGACCAAGCUCGGCCACCAGAUAUGCCAUUUUUAGUGGCUGUUGACGUCACCGGUACGACCUCGGUCACGGUUAGAUUUCAAGAACCAGAUUCUCACGAUUCUCCUAUAUGUACAAAGUUCAAGGUUCAGUGGAGCGUUAGGGAAGAUUUUUCCAUUAUAUGCGGAGACAGGGAAGUAUUGGAUAUGAAACAACGGGAAUGCAGGGUAGACGAUCUCACACAGGGGCAAAGAUAUUAUUUUAGAGCUGCUGCUGGAAAUUUGAAAGGAUACAGCAGGUUCAGGCCGUCGACACCUGCUCACGUUACUCCAAGCAGUUGGAGGGAUAUCGACGGUAGAUUGCCACGUUUCGCCGGUCGUCUUCAGCAAUUGGAUACUUUAUUUACGGAUAUACGACGACCGGAGUAUACGCAAGAGACGCCGGCGGUUCAGCGACGAAAUCAUAGAAAAAAAACCACAAUCAAACAACUCUUUACCGCGACUAGCAAAUUUCAAAAGAAUUUAAGAAGAGGCGUCUUUUUGGCUUGCUUGUUGUACCACGAGGACAAAGUACUCGUUACGAACGAGGACUUCUUACCGGUCAUAGAAAUUGAUGAAACUUAUCCUAGCUGCAUUUACAAUGAUUUUCACUGGCUCAUGAAAGUCGCCUGUACCUGGGACGACGUGAAGUCCCUCAGACAGGAUAUGGAGAAGAGUCAUAGCAGUUCAACCAUUCACUUUAGGAUAAAAUUACUGCAGGCUGCCGCUCAAAUGCAAGCUGCUCUCUGCAUACAAGAUUUGGGUCAACUGUAUCAUAAACCAAUCAGAGAUGUUCAGGGGACGUUGGUGCUAUCCACUGUGAAUUACGUUAAAUCGCCAAAGCUGGUGUCUGUCCUAAAUAGUCGCUGGUUGCCACUCAGCAAAGUUACCAAAAAAUUGAUUACCCACGAAGAUAGCAGUGUCGCGGAUAUCCUCAUGGCUAGCAUAGCAGAACAGAUGACCUACCACCAAGUCAGCAGCGUCAAUCUAUCCAAGGGAUUGUAUUUGGGAUAUCUGAAGAUGCAAAGCAGUGUCGACUUGAUCCAAGUAGUCGUGCCCGCAAAAUCUCCGAACGUUCUGCCUCACUGCAAAAUUCGCGAUAAUCCUCAUGUUUCUGCAGAAGAGUGGGAAUAUUUGAAACGCUUGACCAAAAUUCAACCGGGUGAUCAAGCGGUUCUGGAAGACUCCGAGGAGAAGGAGAACGCAACCAACGAAUCGCAAGGAACUGAGCAGCAGAAAUUAUUUGUGGAUCUCGUGUCCGCGACAGCCAGAAGACUCUUCAGUUACAUGGAAAUAAACCCGGACGAUUCGUUGAACCAUCGAUUGUACGACGCUGAGGUCAUUGAUUUGACACCGACCGUAUCGUUUCUGAUAACGGUACCUCCGGCUGAAACGGCUUGUUCCGUACCAGGGACGAGAGAAAUCCUCUUGAAGAGGGGUGACCUCCUAUCUUUGCCUAUCCAAGUAUUCGAAAUGGUGCACCUGAACACCUAUCAGAAGGACGUGAUAAACAGAUACUCCCGAUUGAGCUGCAUCCUCGAACUCGACACCGCUCUGGCGCAGCACAAUCACCGCGAAGCUUUCAGCUCCACCGAGCUUAGCGUAGCCAAGGACAAGUUGGUCAAAUUACAGGAUUUGCAGACUCAAGUCAACACCGUUUGGAAAGGGGCUAGGUGGCUCAUCGACGUUAUAUCGUUCGCAAGAGACAGAGGUUCGUCGCAGCAGAACGUGGGUGGCCAAAUGGCAGGAAUUCCGAUGAAACUUCUGCUCAAUCUUGAUCGUAAUAAGAACAGUAACAGUCUGAAGCGUAGUUUGUUGCAAUUACCUCCACGGGAUCCCAAGUUGGUAAAAUCCAGCCCCGGGCGCGGCAGUUGGCCAGGUCCUAACAUAACGAAUUCAACUUCAAAUUUGUUGACGACAGAAUUCAGUAAAAGUGAACAGCAACUUCCGAGCGGUCAGUACAUCCGUAAGGGUAGCAACACCUCUAAUAUAUCAACUGGAUCCGAGUUGAUGAAAAGCAGCGUUACGUCAAAAAACAAUCUGAUCCCCGUUCAGGUCCCCAGACUUCCUCCGUCGAAAUCUGAGGACACGUUGCUUUUGACUCAUUACAAGCAUAGCCCCAGAAACAGAUCCGCUACGAUAACUUCUGCGUCCGCGAGUACGAGUCCGCUGUUGAGUAUAAAACCCAUUCUGUACGGGGGAUCGCUGCUGAGUGUUUCAACGGCAAUGACAAACACUACAAGCAUGUUGAGCGUUAGCAAUACCAAUUCGGACAGUCUUCAUUCGUUGAGCAGCGACGAAUACUCCACUCCGAAUUCAAGCAUCAGUCAUAAAGCUAGCCAUGUCAAGUCCAAGAUUUCGAAGCCGACGGCUAGCGUAGCUGCGAUAGCCACUUCCGUGAUGGAGAGUCAAUUGGCUGAGGAAAAAGAUGAAGCCACUAUGAUGCCCGCUCCGCUUCCCGGGAUAUUGCAGGAGACUCGAGUUUGACGUGAAAAUAUUACCAGCUCCACACUCGGUCUCCUAUCGUAGCCCGAUCGGUAUAAGCGUUAUAAGUAUACGCAGCAUACGAAACUGGUCUUGCAUCAGGUACGAGUCUAAAGCUACACGUUACUCCAAGAACAACCGCGCGCGAAGUUGUGG
rnacentral:misc_RNA from 1 species